rnacentral:rRNA from 1 species
UACGAAGGGGGCUAGCGUUGUUCGGAAUCACUGGGCUUAAAGCGUGUGUAGGCGGGCCGUUAAGUGUCUUGUGAAAUCCCCCGGCCUCAACCGGGGAAUUGCUGGGCAUACUGGCGGUCUUGAGCAAUCUAGGGGCAGAUGGAACAAGUGGUGGAGCGGUGAAAUGCGUAGAUAUCACUUGGAACGCCAAAGGUGAAGACAGUCUGCUGGGGAUUUGCUGACGCUGAGACACGAAAGCCAGGGGAGCGAACGGG